UGUAGGGAUCUGGGAAUUCCCCUUUAACAAGUUACGUACGCGCCAUAAGCAUGAUGACGUCACUGACUCGUGGUUGCUAAGUGCGUUCGGCAACUACAUAGUUACAACAAAAACGUUCUUAUAAUUUCUCAAACUUUAUUCUUACUAUUUUAUUGGGCAUGUAUAAGUUGGCAAAAUACAUUUAUAGUUUUCUCAUAAUAUUAGAUCACUCCUGAAAUAUGAUAUUUUACUAAAGUAAAUCUGGGUUUUUGUGCUUCGGACUUCUUCGGGCUUUUCCGGAAGUAAGUGGCCUACGUGCAGGAUUGGCACGUCCUGUUCCUUUUUCUUCGGACCAUGCCGUUGCAUGAUGUGAGCCAAAUUCACAUCAAAAAACCUUCUUUGGCGAGCUAAAAUCUGAAGGCCCAUAUCUGAACAGCCCACCAACUGAAGUGAAGUGCUGUAUAGCUGCUUUUGGAGUCAUUUAAGGAAAGAUUUGAAGAUGUCGGGGGUUUUUAUAUUCCAUUGAAAUAUUGUAUCUCAACUGGAUCAUCAAUAAAUCAACCAAUCAACUAAUGACAGAAACCGA